GACGAACGCUGGCGGCGUGCUUAACACAUGCAAGUCGAACGGAAAGGCCCCUUUGGGGGUCCUCGAGUGGCGCACGGGUGAGUAACACGUGCGUAACCUGCCCUUGACUUCGGGAUAACUUCAGGUAACUGGGGCUAAUACCGGAUAGGAAUCCUUGCUGCAUGGUGGUGGUUGGAAAGCUUCGGCGGUUUUGGAUGGACUCGCGGCUUAUCAGCUUGUUGGUGGGGUAGUGGCUUACCAAGGCUUUGACGGGUAGCCGGCCUGAGAGGGCGACCGGCCAUAUUGGGACUGAGGGACGGCCCAGACACCGACGGGAGGCAGCAGUGGGGAAUAUUGCACAAUGGGCGGAAGCCUGAUGAAGCAACGCCGCGGGCGGGAUGACGGCCUUCGGGUUGAAAACCGCUUUCAGCAGGGGCGAAGCUUGUGGUGACGGUACCUGCAGAAGAAGCACCGGCUAACUACGUG
rnacentral:rRNA from 1 species